GCUGAUUUGGAGCAGCAUCACUAACUCCUAUUAAUCAAGAGUUUAAUCUCAUAAUCAAAAGAAGGAGAAAUAUUUGAAGGUGUACCAAUUAAUCAAACAUCAGCAUGUCAACCCAAUGAGCUCCCCUUCUUUAUUAAUAAGUUGAUAUCAUAAGUGAUGAUGAUGAUAGGUACCAAUUUUCAAUUAAUUUCUACCUAUUGCAGUUCAUUUUUUGUGCUUUAAAUUUGGCUAAAGAUUCUUUGCUAGCGGUGUACUCAAGGCUUUUCAUCAGAGCCAUGGUUUUGGGAAUAUGCAAUUGCUUCGGUGCUAUCCUUUUCGAGAGUUUUUGAUGACUUAUGUCAACUGAGAGUCAUAAUUUCCUUCAAGUUAUCUUACGACCUGGUUGUCUUUGUUAGUGAUGUUGAAAGUGACGACGAUGAGGAUGACACUGAAGCUCUUAGGCUGAACUCGACCAGAUAAAAAAAGAAAGAGUGGAGGAGAGGCUCAAGAAGGCUUCACUUAGUGUGCAUCGUCCCAAUACGUUCAAAAACUUAUUGAGUGAAGACUCGGUUUAUGAGCUUAAUACUUUUGAUGUAACAUAAAGCCCAACUUCCCCUUUACCGAGAGUCCUCAUGUGCUAUUCGUUUCAUUGACCAAACUGUUUUCGUGGAGCUUGUGGAGCUUGCUGAAACGUUUGAACGGAUCCCGAGGGAGAGCUUCAGGUUUCGGGAUUACAAACAACUUAUGGUAUUAUCCAACACGACUACUGAUUUACCAUGUUUGAAUUCAUUUCCCUCUUUUAAAACUUUUGCAUAUAUUUAUUUCACAUAUCACACUUGAUAGCUUAGCACAUAUAUUCAUUUUGUAGAUGUUGUUGGGCAAGUAAGGGGAUUAGAACUACUUACAAUGAAGAGACAUAAAGUACACAACGCAUGAUGAUCACCAUAAGCAUUGAAAGUCACUCAAAUGUUUGCCUAAGUGUUUUUGCCGAUCUAGAUAGGCUCCUUGAUGCAAAUUUGCUUUGGAGUUGUGAUGAACCAAAGGUGGUGGUUGCCACAAACAUCAAUCCCAAGUUGCUGAGAGAACAAAACUGAUUCCGUAAGUCAGAGGUGGGCGUUUGAUUUUUGAAAUUUUGUUGUUGAGUAAGUCAGCCGUGAUUUCUCACAGAGUAUAUUUUUCUGUAUUUAUAAAAUUUUAAAACUCCCAUCUCAGUUAACCAUACAUAGUAUGUGUAGAGAUGAUGACAGCUCCGCAUUAUUAAGAUCUCUCAGAUAAUGGAAGUGUGCUUGAGAUUAGUUCCACGAUCCAUUUGUUUAAGCUGCAAACACAUAUCGAGAGUGUUAGAAACAGGGGAACCAUAUAAUUUAUUGUGUAAGUUAGAAAGCAAUAUGAGUCGUACAUUUAGGAGUAAAAAUUCACUAUAUUAAAUCUCGCCUAGGCUUCGCAAAGGUUCUUCAAAAUCUCUUUGUAAACUAUAUUAUCCUCUUUCGUUGGAACGUCAGCCUCCUCUAGCAUCUUCAGAAAGAAAUGUAAUGCGUACGCUGCUCCAAGUGCUGUUGUCUCUAUGUCCACUGGCCUCACCACCGGAGUUCCCAUCAAAUCAGCCCCAUGUUUCAAAAGGACAAAUGAGAGUAAUGUUACAAAAUAAACAACACAUCAUCAAGAUUCAUACGUGAGAAGAAGAGGAUAAGUCAUUACCUGAAUAUGCAUAAGAAGGUUGUUGGCAGUGGCGCCACCAUCAACUCUAAGCAAGAACUCCCCUUUCUCGUUAUUUAGGGAGUCUAGCACAUCUUUCACUUGGAAACACAUGCUCUCCAUCUGACGUGUGUCACCCGUUGAAGGAGUUGCUGAGAUGGCUCAUACAAAAAUGACAUCUUUCUACUAUAUAUAUAUGGAUAUUUUAUCUAUAUUAUUAAAAUAUAAGUACAAAACAGAACUUCUCUAUUUUAAGUAUUUUACUACAACUUCUCCAUUCCUUUUUGAACCAAUUCUAACAACUUCAUUUAUUAUCUUCACCAUAAUAAUUAUACAUAUUUAUGAACUCUCUUUUCAUAUUUUUUAUUAAACGUCUUUACAUCAUAAUACAAUUACAUCGUAAAUUAUGUGUCUCAUUUUCAAUAAAUUUUUAUAGAAAAAAUUGAAAUUUUUUUUAUAUAUAAAGACAUAUAAAUAUUAAAGUUAUAAUAUAAUUUGUGAAAAUAUAUAUAACUAUAAUAAGGCUUUUUUGGGUUAUUCUAUCAAAUUUACUAAAUUAAUUGGUUAACCUACUUUAUUUUAAGAAAUAUAAAGUUUUAUUCAUUUAAACUGUAAAAUAUAAUAGUGAAUUUAUAUAAUAUAUAAAUAAAAUAUAAAUUAAUCUGUUAAUAUAUUAUUUUACAUACAUUUUCAUAUUAAUCCAAUACGAUAAAUAUAUGAUGAGAAAUGUAUGUGAUACAGUUGAUGGGUCAAAAAAUAAAAAAUACUAAUAUAUAUUAUAAAUUUAUUGUGCUUAGAAAUAUUAUAUUUAAAAUUAUUUAAUAAGGAUAAAUGUUAAAAAUAUAUACCGUCAUUUAUACAAAGCAAAUAUUUAUUUAUACAAAAAAAAACACCCGAAUAGAUAUGUGAGUCAUGCAUUAGUUAAUUUUAAAUAAUUAGACUAUUAGAAGCUUGACGAAUAAUCAAUUCUUCCAUCUCUCCUCUUUUGCCCUUACCUUUUAUUUCAUUUCUUUAUUUUAGUUCAUGAGAUACUCAUAACAAUCCAGCCAAUGGACAUGCGGUUAGAGUAUUCUCCUCCAUUCAUUUUAUUUUUACCAGACUCUUUAACUUCACCACUUCUGACUUUUCGGUUUUAGAGAUCUAAGAUCAGUACGAAUAUUUAAAAAAAAAACUGAUUUGAUUUUGGUUUAGUUCUUUUCUUUUGGUACGGUUCGGUUCUUCGAUUUCAGAUAAAUGUACUUACACUUAAAUCUAACAUUAAUAGAAUAAUAAAAAUAAAUUUGAUUUGGUCCCUUAAACUUCUUAAAUGAUUGAGAUUCUUUAGCUAUUUUAUAGGAUAAUUUUUACACAUUUGGUAGAGCAUAAUAUUUUCAUCCUAAGUUUUAAGGAAAAUCCUAAGUUUUAGGGAAAAUCCUACGUUUUCUAAUUUAUCUUUGAUAUAUCUCUUAUUUUUUAAACUAUAUUUAAGAUUAUUUAUUAUUUUAUUCAAUAUUGUUUAGCGAGAUCCAGAUAGUGUCUUCAAUCAAGCCAUCAUGAUUAUAUUCCAGCAUUUGUAUGGGAAAUUACUUUUAGAAGUCAGACUCUCUAGAUAAAUUUGACGUCUCAAAAACUUAGUUUUUCUCUACAAAUUUAAUAAAAUUAGAAAAUGGUAUUGUAACAUAUUAUUUAAUUUAAUUUUUGUAUUUGAACUAAAAGUUUACGAGCAUGAUACGGAUUAAAGUCUAGUAAUACAUAAAUGGUAUUAUAAGCAAAAAUAUGUAUUAACUAAUAAGUAGAUAACCUUUUAUUUUCACUUUUUAAAAUAUCAUAAAAAUAAAAUACUCAAAAACUUCAAUGUAAAUUGGACUUUGUGCAAAGAGACUUUAACAGAAAACGAACGUAAGGCUGGCUCGGGAAGAGGAUUGGCCAACAUAAAUCUGUAACAUUAACAACGGUUCCACAACAUGCUUUCUUGAGCCCACCGAAUCCGAAAUGAAAAUGAAAAAUAUUGCGUAGAUAUUGGCGGCAUCCUUCUGUAAUGUUCCUAAAUGUGUUUUUACACCCUUCAGGAUCUGUCGGCUGAGCAUUCGGAUAUGACAAAGUCAUUGCGAAAACAAGAACCAUAAUUAAAAAAGCAGUUCUCAUCAUCUUAGAUUCCUUUUGAUUAAGCAAAUUAGAAAUCAAAAGAAUUUAGUUGAUAGUGCUUGUGUGUCGAUGAUGAUGAUAGAGCCAAUUUAUACUUGUUUUAUACAAUCUUUUUUAUUAGAAAGUCUAGAUAUGGGUAUAGCCAAAUAGGUAUGUCUUUUAUUUGUAGAUUGAGUCAUUUGACCUGUUCAUGUAAAUAAAUAAAUAUGAUCACGUUAGAGUUAUUAUUCAUCUAACCCAGCCAAUUAAUUUAUAUUCUUUCUUAUUAAUCUUUUUGACCAGAUUAUUACACUUCAUUACUUAGGGGGUGUAUUGAAACUAUGAUUUUAAAAGAUUUUGGAGUUGUUUUAAAACUCCCUGUUAUUCAACUAAGGAUUUUAAAAAUUCUUUUCAAAUCACCUGUUAUUGAACAUGAUAUUUAUGUAAAAUCAUUUCAAACACUUGCAAAUCUCCUAUUAUUCAAUUAAUCAUUUAUAAAACUUAUAUCAAAUCCACUGUUAUUGAAAAGUAAACAUUAUUUUGAAAGAAAAAGUUACGAAUGUGAUUUUGGGAUACUUUUCAUAUAUUAUAGUUAAAAAGUGUUGCUCUAAAACUCCUACCUCUACAUGUGUUAUUUGGAGAGACUUCAAAAUAAAAAUAAAACAUCUAUCUAACGAUGAACAAGAAAAUAUAUACCAAAAAAAAAAACGACUGACGGCUACUUCGUAUUUAUCUAAGACGACGUCCAACGCAUAUGACUUGCAGCUUUGUCUCUUUGGUCCAUUGGCAGAUACCAAAAAAUCAAAGUUCUGAACAGUUUCAUCCAUGGAGAUCGGCUAAAAUUCUAUAUAUCUUCUUCCUAUAUAUCACAAUUAUGUUCAUCUUCUUUCUCUGUUAUUCUUCUGUGAUGGCUGCUGAUGAAGACGACAUAAGAUGCUUACGAGGAACCCAGACCUCUAUCACUGAUCCUCAGGGAGUUCUUAAAUCAUGGAACUUUGCAAACACCACUCUUAGGUUCCUCUGCAGUUUUGUCGCCCUGUCUUGUUAAAACAAUAAGGAGAACAUCUAGUAGAUGAUAGGUUUGAGUAUCAAAACCAGUAAGAGCAAAGAACAAGAUGAAAUACAAUUACAUUGAUUGUAGAAAUUGGUUACAAGAAACAUGAGAGACUGUUAAUGGAGUUAUCUCACCUCCCCAUGAAAUGAAUCAAUGAUCAACAAAUUGAUAGGACUCGGGAAAAUGAUCUCAUACUUUCGGUUAUGUUCGAUUUCAAGGGUGUGAAAUUUCUCAGAAGAAGAAUUUGAAAGCGGAUUUUGUUACAUGACGGAGAAGAAAGCAAUUCAACUUGUUUUUGUUCAGGCUCUCAAGAACUACGGUAUGAGCUUCUGUUUGUGUAGUUCCAGAGGAAUAACAAGCCAUAAGGAUAUUAGACAUGUUCGAUUUGGAAGGAGUUUGACUGUUGAUACAUGUCAGAGACGUGAAGUUCAUCUUCUUAAAUAUGAUUGGCAGUCACAAGACCUCACAAAAUCACUUGAGUACUGGACCAUCAUAAUCUGAAGAGGCAAGGUUCUCAUCAUUUUGUUUCUGGAUUUCAAUCACAGAAACCAACUGAUUUUCCAGAACGUAAAGGAAGGAUUAGCGUAGAGAUGAUCAGACACAACAACAUAUUUGGUUACGUGCAACUAAGAGAAUUGCAGCUGGUCUUAUCUCUGAGAUUCAAGUCACAGAGGAAGAUGGUAACAAAGAAUGGGUGUUUCAAAGAGAAAGGUAUCACGACGUGAUACAUUUUGAGUUGGUGAAUUCUCUUAGGAGCUUUGGUUAUACCACUAAUCUCUCAGCUUGAGUUUGUAACGAGUUUGCCAACGAGAUGCAGAUCAAUGGAGUUGUUGGAAAUGAGUGUGUGUGGGAUCCAUGAGGCUUGUCAAAAUGUUGGAAUGUCAACUGGAGUACCUGGAUAACGAGUUUGAUUACAUGGUAGAUGUGGCAAAAUUAAAGACUAAGCAAAUCAUCUAAAAACUCAGAAUUUUUUUGAAAAUAGUUUACCAAAUCACCUGUAUUUUUUAUUUUUAUUUUUAAACUUUAACUAAAAUCACUCAAACAACUUCAAAACUCACUUAAAUUCCACCAAAAUUAAAACACUCCACAGCUCUUUAGAAUCCUCAGUCCAAUACACCCCCUUAGUCAAAUAUAUAAUAGAGAAAAUGACCUUUUAGUCUUAACUCGAAAACAUACCAUUUAAUUCCUGAACUCUUUGUCAAAUAAGAAAAAACCUUAAACAAUCGUUGACCAAGCCUAUUUAACACUCUAAUUAAUCUUCCAUUAAUUUGUUUGACAGAAGUUAAAUCACUAAUCAAUGUCAAUUUGAUAAAACGGAAAACCUAAUCUAAACACGAAAAGUUCCAGUUCAUCUUUCUUAAAUUCCUAAUUUUCAUCUCUCUAUUCACAAACAUCUCUCAAGAUCAUUACCGAACAUUACCAAACAAUCAACGUAAACCAUCUUAAAAUUCAUUACCAUAGCUAGCCGUCGGCAUUCAGUUCCGGUUCAGUUCCAAUUUGGUUCUCUGGUUCUAGAAGUUUAAAAUAUGUUAGAUUAUAUAGAAAGUUUUUUUCGGUUUGGUUCAGUUAUUUUGGUUUUUGGUUCAGUUCGGAUAUCAAAGUCGAGCAGACUUAUAUCCAAAGUAAUAUCGGAUCCCAUUCAGUUCUGGUUUGGUUUCGAUUUUUGGUUAAUUUGGGUUAAAAAGUAAAAGAUAUCAGGGGUUUUCACAUUAAAUAUAAAAAAAAAUUGGGUUUUCAGAUAAAAAAUUGUAUAAGUCAGAUAAUUUAAGUAUUUUGGAUAAAAAGUAUUCUAUUAAUUCAUUUUUGGGUAUUUCGACUUGUAAAUAUUAUUUUUAUAUUAUUUGAUUAUUUUAAUACUAAAUAUAGUUAAUAUUUAUAAAUAUAUAAAUUAUAUUAUAGAUAUUUGGGUACCCAUUCGGUUCUAGGUUUGGUUCCGACUUUUGGUUUUAGAAAUAUAUGAUCCACUAGUAUAAUUGAUAGGAUCUAAUUCAACCUUCGGUUCAGUUCUUCGGUUCCGGAUAAAUAUCAAAAUACAUUUCCUUGUAAUGAAGUAAAUGGUACUCAAAUUCUAGAUCAUUUCCUUUCUAAAAGACAGUGUCGUAGACAAGUGUUCUUAAUUUUUGUUUAUGUGGAUCUGUAGAUGUAGUAGGUGUUUUGAUUUUGAUAUCUUAUAACAUACCCAACAGCUCUUUGUCCCUUCUUUUGAGGGAUUUUUCAUUACAAUAUGUUCUUAUCUUCACGAAUUUUGAAAGGGUGAAUAAACACUCUCAAAUUUAAAAGUGCACAAUUCAUUCUACCAAAUACUUUUUUUUCAGUGUGGUCUUAACAAUCCCACGAAUUUAUAAUACAUUUCAGUACCAAUCUUAUCGUUUAAAGGCUAUCUAUUACACCAAGUUCAUGAUAGAAAAGAAUUGUACUCGUGACCAGAAAGCGUAUGUGCAUAUCUCCAUAUUAGCUCGCUGAAACAUCUUAAGAACAGAUCUAUAAUCUUUACGCAAAGUAUAGCAGUUCCCAACAGCACACCUACCAUUUGCUAAGACAGUCAUUUCCAAGCCAAAAAAGCUUUCCAGUUACAUGUUUUUAAAUAAUCUAGUGCUAAAAGUUGGUUCCUAUUUACGGUUGGUUGUUAAAAGUUGUGAGUGUUAAAAUCUGUACUCAAAUGUAAGUGGUUGUUUUUUAAAUGUCGAAACUAAACUUAAGAGUUAAUGAAGAUUCUAGGAAUGAUACCAUGAUUCUGGAGAUAGACAGUUACUGAAAUCAGCUCAUCGGACAGAAAGUCCAGCCUCAUCUCUUCUUGGUUCUUAAAUCAAAGACACGGAAUCAGUAAAAGGAAAAUAUUAAGACAGAAAACCGUGCAGGUAUAUCUAAAUUCAAGCUCUGAGUGGUGGUAUCAAAAGUCACAACAUGACAAUGUUGAGAGUAACAUCUAUUUAUAAUGAUUAGCAUGGAACUUCAAAAUACUAACAAAAUAGCCCACAUAAAGAACAGUGGAGUAUCCAUCUAUUUCUUCCAAUGUACGUAUAAGGAAAUUUUUGAUGAGCAAGAGUAAGACAGAGCAGUUUUAAAAGGUAAAUACAAAGUCAGCGUUAAAGCAGUCUUGUAGUUACACCCAUGCUUUUCUAACUUAUGCCGAAACCGUAUCUCAUGUCUUUUUGUUUCAGUGCGAAUAAAACCAAUAUAACACACAGUGUUUAGAGAUUGUUAUAUGAAUGGGAAUUGGAACGAAACAAUUAAUAGGAGCUUAAAGACCUUAAUUGAUCGAUCAGUAAUGUCUGAACGUAACGUUUAGUUCAGAGAGGGAACGGAUGAGGGAGAAGAAGUGGAGCAGUCAGGGAGGGAGAGAUCGACUUUCGGUAGACUCGGACGAAAAAGAGCGCUUGGCGAAGUGGGCUUAGGAUGGGCCUAAUUAAAUUGUUAAGACAGACUAAAACAUAGAAAUGAAAGGCCAGCUUUGAUCGGUCAAAACAGCAGUACCGACGUGGCGGUUUCUGACUAUGUGAUUGGUUGAUUUUUUAAUCUGAGGUGGCAUAUUUCUCCUUUAAACAGUAAGAAAUUUUAGUAUUGCAAGAUGUAUUAGAUUUUGAUCCGCGCUUUCAAAGCGCGAGAUGUUUUUUGUUAUAAAAUUGUUAACCCAUUUUUUAGUUCAUAAACAGAAAUGACAAAUCUAUUUGUAUUUGAUAAAUAUUUUAUAUAUUUGAUGUAAUAAUCCAAAAAUGAUAAUUGUAAAAUGUCUACUCAUUAAUCGAAACUUAGUUUAGGAAAAUCGACUUUAUUUUAAGUUUUUUGACAAUUAUUUUAAGUUUUAAAAUAUAUAUUUUAAAAAUAGUUGGAAUUUAUUAAAUAGGUUUUGUGUAAAAUUAUAGUUUUGUAAGUGUAUAUAUUUAGUAUAUUUAUGUUAUAUUGAUUUAGAAAAUAAUAAUUCUAUGAUUUUCAAAUAUGUUUCAAUAUUAUAGGUGUAACAAAUUUUAAAUAUUUGAUUUAAAUAUUCCAAACUGUUUAAUGAUUAUCAAAUAUGUUUCAAUAUUAUGAGUAUCUAUAACAUUUUUUAAAAUUGUUUGUUUAGAUAUUGCGAUCUUUGUGGUUUUUGUUUUAACCUAAAAAGUUAUAUUGUCAUUUUAGAUGAUAAUGUCAACACAUAGUGCAUAUGAUUUUUGGUUUAAUUUUUCGGUUAAAUGUAACAAACAGUUUUUCCUUCGAAUUAACAUUAUUUGUAACUGUCCAAAUGAUUUUGUUUGUAAUUUUGUUGGUAUCUUAUACAAUAAAGUAGACUAUGCUCUCUCUUCCUUCACGUCCUCAAGGAAAGGGUACGGGAGGGAGCCAAGAUUUUUUCUUGCCGCCGGCAUCAAUCCUAAGAUGGUUGCGGGUAAGAGAUAUUUGAAUUCAAACAUAUAGUUGCCUAAACCAUUUGUUCGAUUCACAAUAUCUUAUGAAACUCCCUAAUUGUUAUGGCAGGGAAAUUAUAUCUAGCAGGGAAAUUAUAUCUAAAUGGGACUUAUGCCGCACGUAUUUACUUCGAUUAUGAGACGGCUGUAGGAAAAGCUGAGAUUGACAGGCAAGACAUUCUCCUUUGUAAAUUGAUUCUCUCUUUUUCACCAGUGAACCAUCCUUGUCCGAGAAGGGUCGAUGGGAUUAGCAUUGACCCUGAGCCUAACUGGAACUUUGAUAGCUUACUCUCUGAAAUCGAGUCUGUUGAGAAGAAGCUCAAUGUAUUUUCAAAGUUUCCUCAGCCUUUCACUCAGACAACCUUACGGUAUAUCUCUCUCUCUCUGUCUUUUGAUUCAGUGUUUUAGCUCUUUAUUGAGUUGUGCAUCGGUUUAGGGUUUGUUUAGUUUAAUAUUUAGAAAGUAGAGAACAGCUUCUCAUGUUUUUUACAUUGGCGUGUUCAAAAAGGAUGGGAAGGAGAGGUGGAGGUUUUGUAAUGCGUGUAUCAGAAGAUGAGAUGGAAAGUGAUGUAGAUGAAGAGAGUGAUGAAGAAGAAGAAGAAAAAGAUAGCCAAAUCUGUACGAAAGGGAAACAUUUUGCUUGUGAUGAGCUAUACUUGAGGUGAUUGCCACCAACUCUCGCUUUUUUUCUUUCAUAACUGUGGAAGACUUCUUCAGUGUUAUUCUAUGGUUUUUUAAUCAGUUAGUUUUUGUGCAUAUAGUGAUGAAUCUGAUGAUGAGUUUGACUAUGAACCCGAGUCCUUUCUGUUGAGUAAGAUGGGUUUGUGAAGAUGAGAACACUUGUUUAUCAAGCAAAUGAAGAUCAAAAGUAAUCCAAGGCUUAACUCAAGUUAGUAUGGUGAGUUGAAGAUGGGUUAAGUUACUUUUGGGACCACAAGGAGGAGCCUCUCCAUUUUGUCCUCUUGUGCAUUAGGUUUAAAGAUGUCUCUACUAUAAAGGGAGGCUGAGAACGUGAGAGAGAGAUUGAGCCACACAAAGAGCAUAGAAGGGUGAGAGAAACAUGUGAGCUUAAGCCUAGCUUUGGGUUUUCUUAUUAGAA